rnacentral:rRNA from 1 species
GAUGAACGCUGGCGGCGUGCCUAACACAUGCAAGUCGAGCGAACGGACGAGAAGAUUGCUUCCCUGCGGUUGGCGGCGGACGGGUGAGUAACACGUGGAUAAGCUACCUCUAAGACUGGGAUAACAUCGGGAAGCAGUUGCCAAUACCGGCUAAUAUUUUGAACCGCAUGAUUCAAAAGUGAAAGACGGUCUUGCUGUUAGUUUUAGAUGGUUCCGAGUUGCAUAAGCUAGUUGGUAAGGUAACGGCAUACCGAGGCAACGAUGCUGAGCCGAUCUGAGAGGGUGAUCAGCCACACGGGAACUGAGACACGGUCCAGACUCCGACGGGAGGCAGCAGUCGGGAAUCUUCCACAAUGGGCGAAAGCCUGAUAUAGCAACACCGCGUGAGUGAUGAAGGACUUCGGAUGGUAAAGCUCUGUUGUUAGGAAAGAAGAAAAGCGUAUUAAACGGUGCCCAUCUUGACGGUACCCAAACAAAAAGCCACGGCUAACUUCGUG